ensembl:lncRNA
AUAAAAACAGGCAAGUUUGCGGGCUCCUCCGCUGUGUUCUGGUCCUUCACGAACUCGGACAGGUGGGAAUACACCAAACGCUCAGAUGAAACUCCGAGACAUUCGAAGAAAGUGUGUGCCAAUGAAAACUCCACCUGGCCAUGCUGCUGCUCUAGUUUCAACUGUUCUGCCUGCGGCUAUGGAACCCUGACCUGUUCACCGGACGUGCUACCUGUCCCAGACCUGCUGUUUUCAACUCUCUUGAGACAGCAGGAGCGGUAGAGAUACUCUCAAUGAUUGGCUAUGAAAAGCCAACUGACAUUUACUCCUGAGGUGCUGAC